GAGUUUGAUCCUGGCUCAGGACGAACGCUGGCGGCGUGCUUAAUACAUGCAAGUCAAGGAGAACGUUUCCUUCGGGGAAUUAUUAAACUGCGAACGGGUGAGUAACGCGUAGGUAACCUGCCCUAGAGAUUGGGAUAACACCGGGAAACCGGUGCUAAUACCGAAUAAUGCAGCGGAUCCUUCGGGAUACAGUUGUUAAAGCGGGCUUCGGCUCGCACUUUAGGAUGGGCCUGCGUCCGAUUAGCUUGUUGGUAAGGUAAUGGCUUACCAAGGCAAUGAUCGGUAGCUGGUCUGAGAGGAUGAUCAGCCACACUGGGAUUGAGAUACGGCCCAGACUCCUACGGGAGGCAGCAGUAGGGAAUUUUGCGCAAUGGGGGAAACCCUGACGCAGCAACGCCGCGUGACCGAUGAAGCUUCUAGGAGCGUAAAGGUCUGUCGUAAGGGAAGAAAAGUUUGGAUGUAAAUAAUGUUCGAACCUGACGGUACCUCCACAAGAAGCCCCGGCCAACUACGAGCCAGCAGCCGCGGUAAUACGUAGGGGGCGAGCGUUGUCCGGAUUUAUUGGGCGUAAAGAGCUCGUAGGCGGUUCAACAAGUCGGUCGUGAAAGUUCAGGGCUCAACCCUGAAAUGUCGAUCGAUACUGUUGUGACUAGGAUACGGUAGAGGUGAGUGGAAUUCCGAGUGUAGCGGUGAAAUGCGUAGAUAUUCGGAGGAACACCAAUUGCGAAGGCAGCUCACUGGGCCGCUAUCGACGCUGAGGAGCGAAAGCUAGGGGAGCAAACAGGAUUAGAUACCCUGGUAGUCCUAGCUGUAAACGAUGGAUACUAGAUGUAGGAACUGGAUUGACGGUUUCUGUAUCGCAGCUAACGCGUUAAGUAUCCCGCCUGGGGAGUACGGUCGCAAGACUAAAACUCAAAGGAAUUGACGGGACCCCGCACAAGCGGCGGAGCAUGCGGCUUAAUUCGAUGAUACCCGUAGAACCUUACCUGGACUUGACAUAUAGGGUCAAGCUAUAGAGAUAUAGUGUGCAUUAGCGCCCUAUACAGGUGGUGCAUGGCUGUCGUCAGCUCGUGUCGUGAGAUGUUGGGUUAAGUCCCGCAACGAGCGCAACCCCUGUCCUAUGUUGCCAGCAUUUAGUUGGGGACUCAUAGGAGACUGCCGGUGAUAAACCGGAGGAAGGUGGGGACGACGUCAAGUCAUCAUGCCCCUUAUGUCCAGGGCUGCACGCAUGCUACAAUGGCAAGUACAACGAGUUGCAAUACCGCGAGGUGGAGCAAAUCUCUUAAAGCUUGUCUCAGUUCGGAUAGGAGUCUGCAACUCGACUCCUUGAAGUUGGAGUCGCUAGUAAUCGCAAAUCAGCUAAGUUGCGGUGAAUACGUUCUCGGGGUUUGUACACACCGCCCGUC
rnacentral:rRNA from 1 species